rnacentral:rRNA from 1 species
GACGAACGCUGGCGGCGUGCUUAACACAUGCAAGUCGAACGGAAAGGCCCUGCUUUUGUGGGGUGCUCGAGUGGCGAACAGGUGUGUAACACGUGAGUAACCUGUCCCUGACUUUGGGAUAACUUCAGGAAACUGGGGCUAAUAUCGGAUAUGAGCUCCUGCUGCAUGGUGGUGUUUGGAAAGUUUCGGCGUUUGGGGAUGGACUCGCGGCUUGUCAGCUUGUUGGUGGGGUAGUGGCUUACCAAGGCUUUGACGGGUAGCCGGCCUGAGAGGGUGACCGGCCACAUUGGGACUGAGAUACGGCCCAGUAUCCUACGGGAGGCAGCAGUGGGGACUAUUGCACAAUGGGCGGAAGCCUGAUGCAGCAACGCCGCGUGCGGGAUGACGGCCUUCGGGUUGUAAACCGCUUUCGCCUGUGACGAAGCGUGAGUGACGGUAAUGGGUAAAGAAGCACCGGCUAACUACGUG